rnacentral:misc_RNA from 1 species
GCAAACUUGGUCAUUUAGAGGAAGUACAAGUCGUAACAAGGUUUCCGUAGGUGAACCUGCGGAAGGAUCAUUAACAAAUCAAGAGGCAAUGUGCGCGAGAGCGCAUGUUGCUUUUGUGUGUUGUGGGGGGAUGUGCCUAGUCUCAGACUAGUUGCACCUUCCAAAUACACAUAUAUAUGCGCUCCAGGUUACACUGGAAAGUGCAAAUAACGCUUUUAUCAUAUUAUUAUCGAAUUAUUGUAAUGUGCAUAUGGUCACGUGACCAUAUACGCGUCAUGUGACCACAUUGCAUAAAGAAACAAAAUAAUCAUGGAAACUUUUAACAAUGGAUCUCUUGGCUCUUGCAUCGAUGAAGAACGCAGC